CUGAGUAUCUUAUUUGCAUUUCACUGGGUUCUCCACAGCUUCUCUCCCCUGACACGUGUCAGUUGUUGAGUCUUUCAGGAGAUGGGCAGGGCACUUUUCCAGGAGAAAGAGAAGGGGAGGAUCAGUGAAACCUCAUGAUCAAGGGUUGCUGGUGGGAGGGCAGGAGGGCCCAGGAGGAGGGAGCACUGUGGGACACCUCAUAACUGCACUGCACUUUCCCCCCACGCUGUGUGGAAAAACUGAGUAUUUCCAGUGUUUACAAAGGAGAGAAUUACACGGCUUAGCAGAAGCCAAAGUGCAGAUUCUUGCAGUUGAGUGCUUAAUAAUUAUUAGCUUUGCUGAUGGAAACAUAUCAAUGUAAAUGCAAUAAAAUGCCUUCAGCAGCCAGAAAA